UUAAUUGUCUUGUUGGUUCUUUUUGUAUUAAAGAUUGAAUCCUUUUGUGUUCUAGUUGAGUUAGAUUUGUGAAUUUUGUUCAUCAAACAUCAAUUUUUGUCGAAUCUUGGAUUUUUUUUCUUUUACAUGGGGCUGUUCUUGGUUAUGUUCAUAAUUUUUUUUACUGUAUCAAAGUUUGAAUCUUUUGGUGUUCUACUUUGUCAAAAUUUAUGAAUGCUGUUUAGAAAACAACAAUUGUGUUAGAUCUUAGAAUUUUUUUUCUUUUAAAUGGGGUUCUUCUUGGGUCAUAUUGGAGUGGUGGGCAAGGAAGGGGUUGAUGGUCAAGAGUAAGAUUGUCUUUUUGGUUGUCACACUGUUGUUUUUGUAUUAAAGUUUGGAUCUCUUUGUGUUCUAUUUGGGUAAAGUUUAUGAAUUUUGUAAUUAAACAACCAUUUGUGUUGAAUCUUGGUUCUUUUUUAAUUUUUUUUUUAUCAUGGGUUGUUUUAAAUCUUGAAUUUUUCUGGGAUAUAAUCAUAAAUUGUGUUAUUGAUUAUAUCCAUCAAAUACUUAUCCUAUGUAUCAAAGUUUGAAGCUUUUUAUGUUCCAGCUUGUCAAAAUUCAUGAAAUCUGUUUAUAAGACGACAAUAUGUGUUAAAUCCUGGAUUUAUUUUGUUUAUUUUUUUUUUUAAUCAUGGGCGGUUUUAAAUCCUCAUCUUUUCUGGGAAAUAAUCAUAAUUUGUGCUCUUGAUUAUGUUCACAGAAUCUUAUCUUUAUAUCAAAGUUUAAAUCUUUCUAUGUUAUGCUUCUUGGCCAAAAUCUUACCUGUACAAUCAUAAGUUUGUGUUCUUGAUUAUGUUUAUCUCAUUUGCUCUUACCAAAUCUUGAUUUCCCCUUGUGUGAAGUGUUCUUACUUCUUAUAGUGAAAUUAAGUUCUACAAUUGUUGAUCUUUCUUUAUGCUAUUGUUUUAACUGUGAUAUUAAUUUAUGGAAAUCUCAAACUUUAAGUGAGAAUUCAUUUGCAAUGAGCCAAAGUAGAAGUUAUAUUCAAGCUUUGCGGAUCAUUCGAUAUGUUUUGUUCGUUUAGACAUAUAUAUUCGGUCUUUCUGAUAUGAAUGGAGUCAAAAACAAUCUACAUGUACUUCCUAUAAUUGCUUGUAACAUCAGAAGCUAAAUUUUAUGUUUUGUUAGAUUUUGGUGAGUUAGUGAUGAUAACCUUUAAAGAGAAGAGUUUUAUGUAGAGGAAAUUAUGCCAUAUCUUAUAGUUCUGAUAUAAGAACAGACUGCUUUGAGUGUGUUUAUUGCUUUGUUUCUGAAACAAAAAAAAAAAAAAAAACAGUUUUAGUAUGCACUCCCAAACACACCUGAUUCUUUAGAGCUUGAUUUGCAUAUGAGAGCCAUAUGUCCCAUUUUACGCUUCCAGCCCCUUAAUAAAUCUUGUUUUCGGUUCCUGAUUUGAUGGGUAUUGACCUAGGUAGUUGAAGGCUCAAGACGCGUAUGGUGAGCCUGACACUUAAAAGGCUCACGUCCAGUGCAGGCCAAUUUUAGCUGUUUUGGAUUGGUGUUCAGCUGGUUUAGACUGUUUUUGGCUUGUUAAGCCUGGGUGCCUGCCUUUAACUAUAUAGCUAAUAGCCGAAGAUUUAGUGGCUGGCGGGUUUCUAUUUUUGUGGGUCUGAUGAAGAUCAGAUUGCUUGCUGGUGUAGUAACUCCUGCAGACAUAAUGUAACUAGUUUGAAUGAUUGAAUAUGCAUGCAGUUAGAGUGCUAGAAAUCUCUGUAUAAAAACAAAGAUCAAACAUUGUGCAGUUGGAAUGAAAGUUGUACAUUGUGUUUAUUUUAA